GAUGAACGCUGGCGGCGUGCCUAAUACAUGCAAGUCGAGCGAACGGACGAGAAGCUUGCUUCUCUGAUGUUAGCGGCGGACGGGUGAGUAACACGUGGAUAACCUACCUAUAAGACUGGGAUAACUUCGGGAAACCGGAGCUAAUACCGGAUAAUAUUUUGAACCGCAUGGUUCAAAAGUGAAAGACGGUCUUGCUGUCACUUAUAGAUGGAUCCGCGCUGCAUUAGCUAGUUGGUAAGGUAACGGCUUACCAAGGCAACGAUGCAUAGCCGACCUGAGAGGGUGAUCGGCCACACUGGAACUGAGACACGGUCCAGACUCCUACGGGAGGCAGCAGUAGGGAAUCUUCCGCAAAGGACGAAAGCCUGACGGAGCAACGCCGCGUGAGUGAUGAAGGUCUUCGGAUCGUAAAACUCUGUUAUUAGGGAAGAACAUAUGUGUAAGUAACUGUGCACAUCUUGACGGUACCUAAUCAGAAAGCCACGGCUAACUACGUG
rnacentral:rRNA from 1 species